rnacentral:lncRNA from 1 species
CCAAAGGGACAAGAGGUCUCCCCCAAAUCUGCUUCCUUCAGAAAUUCUGGAAGCGUGAGCUCCUGGACUCCUCUGCGGAGCAAAGGUCACACGUUGGGAAUUAAGGGUAAGAAACACCUCCCUUUCUUCCUUGUUCCUUCCAAGACCCUGCUGGAUUGCAGCUGCUUGUCUGCGGGCAAAGAUUUUCCCAGAGCCUGGCUUCAGAUGAGCCCUGUUUGUUCCCACCAGUUUCUCAUGCAGAGAACUCUGGGAACAGCUCCCUUUCCAGCUCCUCAGAGAGUCACUAACUACUUAGAGAAGAAAACUUCCCUCUGGCUGCUCCCAUCUGGGAUCAGAGUGCUUAACGUGUCUUCACAAUUGGAUUUUACCCACAUGCCUUGAGACCCAACAAAAAGCAAGCCACUCCCCCACAAUUCUGGCUCAAGCUGUGUAAGACACUCACUAAGAUUUAAGAAAGUUAUGGUGAGAAGAGAUGAGGGGACUCAGUGAACCAAGGUGUAUUCUUUGUUUUCCUCAAAUGUGGUCUGAGACCCCAAAAGCCUUUAAUCAAUGGCCAAACCCCAAGGUGGGUCUGGCUCAUGGUUAGCAGCAAAUGCAUCUACUACUUACCAUGUGCCAAGUGCAGGGCUAAGUGCUGUGCAUGACUUUUCUCCCCUGUCUUCACAACCCCUUUGAGGCAGCAAAAAAGUAUGAUCUCUUUACCACAAGCAACCAGCAUAGCAGAGAGAAGUAUCUUGCCCACAACCACACAGCCAGUAAGUGGAGGAGCUGGGAUUUGGAUCAGGACACAACCACUUCAGUUGCAAGGGGAGAAGAGAAAUGAAAACUGACAACAACCAAUCCCCAACAGGUUUGGAAGCCAUGGACAAAACCUUCAUUCUGCACGGAGGAGAGGCAGCUUUCUUGCCCAGCUCCCUCCUGGGUCUUCUGCCUGAGUAAAACUGUAUGCUUCUAUCAUGAUUGAACUACUACAGCAUUUGGAGAUUUAUUUGUUGCACUGAGUAGCAUGAGCCCAAUUCUCUACACAGGCACAAACCAGCCAUUCAGGCUCCUUGAGAAGGCCAAGGACACUGAAGGACAAGUAGCUGGUUGUUGGUAACCAGGAGGGACAAAGGCAGGUGCAGAGACUGGAGCAGGGAACUCAGGCCUGUCCAGUAGCGGACAGGCUGAGAAACAGACAGGCUCCUCAUGUCAGGGACAACAGGACUUGAACAACUGCAGAUGAGAAAACAUACAUAGAAUGAUUCCACCAUUUUAGUAUGUCUCCUGCUCUUACAUUAAUACUGUUCCCUCACUUCUUUUCUCUACAGCCAUAAAAUUGCCCAUCCAUAAACAGGCUGAAUAGCCCUUAUGGAAAAUGCUUAGGACAAGAAAUGCUUCUGAUGCCAGAUUUUUUUGAAUAUUUACAUAAACACAAUACUUUGGAGAUGAGACCCAAGUCGAAGCAAAACUUAUUUGUUUCAUAAUCACUAUAUAUGACAGCCUGAAGGCAACUGUAUACAAUAGUCAUGUUUUUACUGCACCUAUGAUUUGACUGCAAUCUGCCACAUGAGGUCAGGUGUGAAAUUUUCCACUUCUUGCAUCAUGUCAGCAUUCAGAGUUUCAGAUUAUAUUUUGGGUUUUCAAGAUUAGGGAUGCUCAAACAACAUCACAUUUAAAAUUGUUAAGGGAAGUGUAUUUGGCCCAGCAGUUAAGCUGCCAAUUGGGACAUCAGUGUCCCACAUCCUAAAGCUGGGUUGGAUAUCCACUCUCAGCUUCAGAUCCCAACUUCUUGUUACUGCAGACUCUGGGAGGCAAUGGAGAUGGCUCAAGUAAUUGGGUUCCUGUCACCCACGUGGGAGACCAGGAUUAUGUGCUUGGUUCUUGCCUUUGACUUGGUUCAGCCUUGCCCAUUCUAAGCCCUUGGAAACCAGUAGACAGUGUAUGAGAGUGUUCUGUGUGUGUGUGUGUGUGUGUGUGUGUUUCUAUGUAUCUGUUUCACUCAAUCUCUCAAACAAUAUAAAAAUUUUAAAUCAUUGAGAAUUUUGGAAGAAUCUAUCAUGGAGCCACCAUCUGCAGCUCUGCUCUCCUAACCUGGCUGGGCACCUGCCUUUAGCCCUGAAUGGGGACUUUUUCUUCUGCCCCAUGACUCUGCUCUGACUUCCAAGCACAUGUUCAUGCAAUGCAUGGUACAAAACACCCUGCCACAAAUGCCCUCCAUGGUGAUGAUGAAAUGAUCUCAGUGCCCGCUUCUGUGGGGGUGUGGUGAAGACUGGGAUCUCCAUUCAUCUGGCUGAAGGUGGAGGACCCCUUUCUCUGUAUGCCUUGCUGCCACCAUUCUCUCCAUUCAUUGAAAGCUUGAAGACAAAACCCAUCAUGUGCCCCUGGUUGUCUGCCCAUCAUCCCAGCCCUGAAUAAACAACAGUUCAUUUGUAAGAGGUUUUUAAUU